UACGGGGGGGAGCAAGCGUUGUUCGGAUUUACUGGGCGUAAAGGGCGCGUAGGCGGCGUGACAAGUCACUUGUGAAAUCUCCGGGCUUAACUCGGAACGGUCAAGUGAUACUGUCGUGCUAGAGUACAGAAGGGGCAACUGGAAUUCUCGGUGUAGCGGUGAAAUGCGUAGAUAUCAGGAGGAACACCGGUGGCGAAGGCGGGUCUCUGGGCAGUAACUGACGCUGAGGAGCGAAAGCGUGGGGAGCGAACAGG
rnacentral:rRNA from 1 species